rnacentral:rRNA from 1 species
ACUCAAAUGAAUUGACGGGGGCCCGCACAAGCGGUGGAGCAUGUGGUUUAAUUCGACGCAACGCGAAGAACCUUACCUGGGCUUGAACUGUAGUGGAAACCGGCAGAGAUGUCGUCCUUCGCAAGAACUGCUACAGAGGUGCUGCAUGGCUGUCGUCAGCUCGUGUCGUGAGAUGUUGGGUUAAGUCCCGCAACGAGCGCAACCCUUACCCUUAGUUGCCAGCGCGUCAUGGCGGGAACUCUAGGGGGACUGCCCGGGUUAACCGGGAGGAAGGUGGGGAUGAUGUCAAGUCCUCAUGGCCCUUAUGUCCAGGGCUACACACGUGCUACAAUGGGCGAUACAAACCGUUGCAAGACCGCGAGGUGGAGCUAAUCGGAGAAAGUCGCCCUCAGUUCGGAUUGGAGUCUGCAACUCGACUCCAUGAAGGUGGAAUCGCUAGUAAUCGUGUAUCAGAAUGAUACGGUGAAUACGUUCCCGGGCCUUGUACACACCGCCCGU